UGCCGAAGUGGCGGAAUGGUAGACGCGGUAGACUCAAAAUCUACUUUAAGCAAUUAAGUGCAGGUUCGAGUCCUGUCUUCGGCAU
rnacentral:tRNA from 1 species